UCCAUGGUGAAGAGUAGAACAGUUACUUCUAAAGGAUAGCUUAUGGCUAUGACUUCGUCUACACAACGAGUAUCUGUCAAGGAUUGAUUGAGUCCUUCAAAGAGUGCUCAUGCUGGUACUGCUUCCAAGCAGGUUUCUGAGGGUUCUCGUUCGAGAGCCCAAGGUGAUGCUAGAAAAAGAUUAAUUUUUGCUGCCGAGAGAAGACCUGACCAUGGUCGGAAAAGGGUAGAAG
rnacentral:lncRNA from 1 species